CGUAGGUUCUGCGUCAUAAAUCAGAUGGUGUCUGUCUUCCGGCGCGCGCAAAUACAGAGAGGAACCGCGCGUGUUACCGACUUUGAGAAACCCGAGUUCCCACAAAAGGUGAACGUGGAUGUUUAUAGGCGAGGAAUCGAAUCUUUUGGAUUCGACUCCCUACGCUAUCCGAUCGUCUCAGAGUCGAUUCAAGGUCUAGAUUGCACAAUCUUCCUGUUUUUUCCUUCCACAUGUGUGUUUGUUGUGAUUUCAGAUCAAAAUGACGAAAACUGCAGCAUCUUCAACAUCUCCAGAGCUCAAGUUGGCAUGAAAUCAACGUUUAAUGCUUGUCACUGCUCUUCCUGUGAACGAUUCAUUUAACACGGCAUUCCCGUCUGUCAGUGGAAUAAUGAACGUGUCCGAAACGACAGUUUCUUUCUUGUUUAACUGACAUUUUACUCAGACAUGUCACCAUAUGUUAGUAUAAUGUGUGUUUAAUGCCGUCGUUUCGACCUGACACACUGAAACUCAGUUAAUACUUAUUUACAUGCAGAUUAUAAAGAGUAACUAGGUUUAUAGAUAACUAGCCACUAACUGGCAGUGUUUAAAGAUUCGUGUGUUUUUGAUUUUCUGAGUUUAAUUCUCGUUUUUUUGUUUUUUUGCAUGUGCUCGUUUUUUAUGAAUGUUUGUCUUGUGUAAAAGUCCUGCUUGUUACUUUGAUCAUGAUGUAAUAAAUGAUUGUGCAGAAUC